AUUGAACGCUGGCGGCAGGCCUAACACAUGCAAGUCGAACGGUAACAGGAAGAAGCUUGCUUCUUUGCUGACGAGUGGAGGACGGGUGAGUAAUGUCUGGGAAACUGCCUGAUGGAGGGGGAUAACUACUGGAAACGGUAGCUAAUACCGCAUAACGUCGCAAGACCAAAAAGGGGGACCUUCGGGCCUCUUGCCAUCGGAUGUGCCCAGAUGGGAUUAGCUAGUAGGUGGGGUAACGGCUCACCUAGGCGACGAUCCCUAGCUGGUCUGAGAGGAUGACCAGCCACACUGGAACUGAGACACGGUCCAGACUCCUACGGGAGGCAGCAGUGGGGAAUAUUGCACAAUGGGCGCAAGCCUGAUGCAGCCAUGCCGCGUGUAUGAAGAAGGCCUUCGGGUUGUAAAGUACUUUCAGCGGGGAGGAAGGGAGUAAAGUUAAUACCUUUGCUCAUUGACGUUACCCGCAGAAGAAGCACCGGCUAACUCCGUG
rnacentral:rRNA from 1 species